GGGGCUGGUGGUGGUGGUGGUGGUGGUAAAAUUGAUGGAUCCAAUAACUUAUGCAAAACUUCUGUGUUGAAUUCUCCAUCUUCUGAGACCGACUGGAGUUUUUUAUGGACAUUCUAAUCGUGUUUUAAUUAUAAUUUACAAAACAUUAUGUAAAGAUCAUGGUACUCCUUCAAGAGAUUUGGUGAGAAGAAGGGUAUCUAGGGGGAACAAUUCGUCUCUGAGGAGCUUUGCAGACAACGAAGCUUAUAAUAACUUUAUGGGGACUCUGACGAAUGGCAUCAACGGUUCUAAUAACAAGGACAGGAGAAGAUAUAUGAUGUAUAUUGAUGACCUGGCAUAUGAGGAACUAUCAGAACUGGAGAAAAGAAUUGGCAGCCAUAAACUUGGGUCAUCAGAAAAAACCAUGUUAGAUGAGUUGAAGGCGCGGACUCUUAUUGAAUGUUCAAUGCCUAAAGAUGUAAAUCAGGAAACUGGAAUAUCCUCUAUAUGUUAGGAUGAAUAUGAGAGCCAGGAAAAAGUUACAAUUCUGAUGUGUGGUCAUGAAUACCAUACUGACUGCAUGAGACAAUGGUUGAUGGAGAAGAAUUUUUGCCCUAUAUGCAAGCGAGAUCAGCCCUAUGUUUGACCUUUGAAGAGGAUAUUACAAUCGAAGUUGCUCUUGCUACGUUUUGUUCUAUGGCGGAUCUGUUUAUUUAUUUCAUGUCUUGAUAAAGUUCUUAGGUUUUGGAAGAGGUGAACUUAUUUAAGGAUCCAAGGAAAUUGCCGCUAUAAGGUAGAAGUCUGAAACCUAGAAGUCUGAUUUCUUGACUAUUCAUGUCUUGAUCUAGUUAUGGCGUACUUGAGCAAGGAUCGUUUUCCUAGUGGUACCUACAACAAGACGAAGUACAAAAAGAUUGAUGCAUUCUCAAGAAGAUCUGCGACAAUGCUUAUGUUAUUGACCUCCCAGCUCAUAUGAAUAUCUCGUCCACAUUCAACGUCAAGGAUAUUUUUCCUUAUU